rnacentral:rRNA from 1 species
GAUGAACGCUGGCGGCGUGCCUAAUACAUGCAAGUCGAGCGAACGGACGAGAAGCUUGCUUCUCUGAUGUUAGCGGCGGACGGGUGAGUAACACGUGGAUAACCUACCUAUAAGACUGGGAUAACUUCGGGAAACCGUAGCUAAUACCGGAUAAUAUUUUGAACCGCAUGGUUCAAAAGUGAAAGACGGUCUUGCUGUCACUUAUAGAUGGAUCCGCGCUGCAUUAGCUAGUUGGUAAGGUAACGGCUUACCAAGGCAACGAUGCAUAGCCGACCGGAGAGGGUGAUCGGCCACACGGGAACGGAGACGCGGACCAGACUCCUACGGGAGGAAGCAGUAGGGAAUCUUCCGCAAUGGGCGAAAGCCUGACGGAGCAACGCCGCGUGAGUGAUGAAGAUCUUCGGAUCGUAAAACUCUGUUAUUAGGGAAGAACAUAUGUGUAAGUAACUGUGCACAUCUUGACGGUACCUAAUCAGAAAGCCACGGCUAACUACGUG